GUGCUCUCUUCAGCAGCACAUAUAUUGAAAUUGGAAUGAUACAGAGAAGAUUAGCAUGGCCCCUGUGCAAGGAUGACAUGCAAAUUCCAUAUUUUU
rnacentral:snRNA from 1 species